UUUAUGUUUCCGUAGUGUGGGAGCUUUGUUCUUUCACUGUUUGCGGUGCCAUUCCAUAUAAAGUGAAGGAUAACGGCUACAGCAUUUUUUGUUAGACUUGGACAAUGUUGAAUGUACUACAGAAGCAUACUUUAAGGUUUGAGACAGGGUCUCACUCUGUCACCCAGGCUGGAGUACAGUGGCUCGACCUCAGCUCACUACAACCUCUGCCUCCUGGGCUCAAUCAAUCUUCCCACAUCAGCCUCGUAGGAUAUCUCUCUGUCGGCUAGGCUGGAGUGUAGUGGUGUGAUCAUCAUGGCUCACUGUGGCCUCAAACUCCUACUAUGGACAGGAGACAGGGAAAUACUGGGUAGAAGAGGACAGUUCCCCAGCAAAGGCCCCACCCUCAAGCCUGGAUACCCAUGGCCCUAAAUGGGAACAGGCAUUUCUGUUUUUGCACCCCAAAAGUUGACUUUUGGCCCACAUGCUCCCUAUCCUGUACCCAUAUAAACCCCAAAUUCCAGGCUCCAGAGAGAGACAAGGAGAUGAGGAGACAAGCAGACGAACAGCGGAACAAUGCAGCAGAGAAAGAGAGAAGAGAAGGAACGUCUGAACGUCGAGAGGAGUUCGGCUGCUGGACGGCCAAACUCCAGGGGAAGAUCAUCUUCCCACUCCAUUCCCCCUCCAGCUCCCCAUCCAUCCCACUGAGAG
rnacentral:lncRNA from 1 species